UACAUAGGGUGCAAGCGUUAAUCGGAAUUACUGGGCGUAAAGCGUGCGCAGGCGGUUCGCUAAGACCGAUGUGAAAUCCCCGGGCUUAACCUGGGAACUGCGUUGGUGACUGGCGGGCUAGAGUAUGGCAGAGGGGGGUAGAAUUCCACGUGUAGCAGUGAAAUGCGUAGAGAUGUGGAGGAAUACCGAUGGCGAAGGCAGCCCCCUGGGAUAACACUGACGCUCAUGCACGAAAGCGUGGGGAGCAAACAGG
rnacentral:rRNA from 1 species